UUUUCUGCUGCAGCCUUCACCCGCCUUCUCAGCCAUUGUGAUGCUCCACCAAGGUCAGCCAUCAUCCUCCGCCUGUUCCACCGUUGAAUAAUCACACACAUGAACA